GGAGUUAGCCGGUGCUUCUUCUGUGAGUGAUGUCCUUCCUGCCGGCUAUUAACCCGCAGGCCUUCUUCCUCACUGAAAGUGCUUUACAACCCGAAGGCCUUCUUCACACACGCGGCAUGGCUGGAUCAGGGUUGCCCCCAUUGUCCAAUAUUCCCCACUGCUGCCUCCCGUAGGAGUCUGGGCCGUGUCUCAGUCCCAGUGUGGCUGAUCAUCCUCUCAGACCAGCUACGGAUCGUCGCCUUGGUGAGCCGUUACCUCACCAACCAGCUAAUCCGACAUAGGCUCAUCCGAUAGCGCGAGGCCCGAAGGUCCCCCGCUUUCCCCCGUAGGGCGUAUGCGGUAUUAGCCUGGGUUUCCCCAGGUUAUCCCCCACUACCGGGCAGAUUCCUAUGCAUUACUCACCCGUCCGCCGCUCGCCACCAGGGAGCAAGCUCCCCGUGCUGCCGCUCGACUUGCAUGUGUUAGGCCUGCCGCCAGCGUUCAAUCUGAGCCAUGAUACAACUCUGA
rnacentral:rRNA from 1 species